UGGACCUGGGCGGAGCUUACGCGCCGCUCGACCGUUCGGAUACACGCACGUUGGAUCGGACGCCAAAUCGUACCGUGUGUCCCCUGCUUAAAGCUCGCUCAUGGUUCGGCGUAAGUCCCUGUAUAUUCUUUAUAAAUAAGGAAGCCUACCUAGGCACUGUAAACCCAACAAUUGGGGCCUAAAUGCCUGCCCUCCUCCCUGCUGCGGCUUCGUUUGAGCGACAAAGUCCGAUUUCGAAGGCCGUGCUUUUGUAAACUGCAUGCCACUGAAGCGGUUGCGAAUCUUGAAGGCGACAUCCGCUUCAUUUUUUUUUUUUUAAUAUAUACAGUACAUUUUCUUAAACAUCGUAUAAAAAAGUGCAUAUUUAUACAAAGUUAACACUUUUUGACCCAAGAAAUUUGUUAAAGUGUCCCUACCGAUUGUUGUUAGGAAAAAACACGUAAUUUUCUCAUUUACGAUACAUUUUUCUAAAAACCGUAGAGUGGCGCCACUGCAGUAUUUGUUUGGUCGACAUACCACGUUGGUUGUAGUGAAUGCACCUUGCAGUAAGGCGGUAUUUGAGUUAUAUUUUAGAAGUGCCUAGACAAAAUCUGCUCCUUGUCGUGUGCAGUAACCAUCGCAAACCCUCCGGACUUGUGUAACGCCGUUAGUUCGCCGUGUGUUUCGUGCGAUCUACCAGUGUCGACAGUGAGUGUCUUACUACAGCGCCCGUCCGAGCUGCCUUUGUUCUGCCGAGCUGCCUGCCCGCGCUCUCGUGAAAAGUCUGGUACUGGAGCUUCGAAUCGUAGUGUAUGGAAGACUGUUGAAGGUUGUGCUUUUGUGGAGCUGGAGUUCAUCGGAAGUUCUACAGUGCUUGCGCCAGAAAAACGUCGGUGCCUCGGUACCUUUGAGACGAAGGAGCGUUGGCCAAGUCUUUUUGAAAGGCUAUGCGGAUUCUGGAGGCAUCCCUACAUCAAGCAGGAACCUGCUGCACUGCUGGAAGCUGGACAGCACGACAAUAAAGCACGUGAUCUGUGUGCUUUCUCAAAGGUAGACAUCGGCGACGGUGUAUAUGUUGAAAAGUGCCUGCUGAAGAGGCUGCGCCUGGAUGCUAACAACUCAGGCUUUCAGUUCGCGGGGGGCCUCCUUAAGGCUCCUUUUACAAAAGAAGAGGUUGAAGGGAGGCGCUACACAUGGAUGCGCAGCGAUUGUUUGUGACAUCGUCACUGCUGGCAGGCCUGGCCUGCCUUUUCGCUUCGUUCUGGGUCUUCCACGUUAUCUACUCGAAAACGCCCACAGGGUUUUGACAUUUAUUGAGCACUGCUUUCUGGAUUUGAGCUACACAAAGCUGCAGGUGAAAGCAUUGGAUUUAGUCAAUAUUUACUAGAACUAUUGCUAGGCAAAAAAAUUUUCAGAUGCAUAUCCUCAAGAAAGUUUCUGUAAAAAUUAUUUUGCCUAACAAAAGCACUCGUGGGUUCUGUGGCUGGCAGCUUGCCCAAGCCAUGUAGCACAGUGCUUGCUUUAAAGGGACACGAAAGGGAAAAUUUAUUUGAGCGUUAUUAAAUCAUUUUUCUACAACACCGAAAAAACAACUCCCUCUAAGAGAAUUGGCUUGAUAAGCCAGAUAACUUGCAAAAACGAAAACUGGUGUCGCCACCACCACCUUAUAAUUCCUGCACCAGCUCGCUGUGAUAUGGAAUUUGACGGUGUCUGUUCGGGUCUAGCUAAUGUUCUACUGGCCAAUAUUGAUGAAUUCUGUUGUAAAGGUGUCAAAGAAUAUACUUAGUUGAAGUAUGACUCCACACUGAUGUGCGGGCACUGCAUAAAACUUGAAAGUUAAAUCUUCAUUUUCUCAUCUAUUAAUCCGCUUAUUGCCACAAUGUUCAUGAAUACAGUUCUGAAAGAUUGUUUUAUCAGUCUAAAAUCAUUUAUUGUUUCUCUUUAGUAUCUCUGUAAUGGACCUUUAGCAACAAAAUGUGUGUUAGUUUGCGACAGGUAUUCUCAGCGGGGGCAAGAGCACCAGCAGCAUGCUCAGUGAUUCUGUACCAACUGAUAAUUUGAAGGAUGUCCUGUGCCACUAGGGUUAGGCCAACAUGGCUCUGUGUUAAUCACCACAAGUGUAUUAUGCAAAACUUAAUGGCCCAGAAAUUGGUAAUUCAGGGGGGAGUUGAAUUAGCUGUUUAUUUUUUUUUUCUUUAUCAUGGACUUCUCACAUUACACUUUGUCACAACGCAUUCACUUUAAAGUAACUGGAGAAUAAGGUGGUUUGGUAUUCAGACAUGCCUUCUGUGUGUAAACAGUGUUAGAUGAGCAAUACAAAGAUACACCAUAUAUGCUGACUGGCAACAUGAAGGGGUUUGAGGGCAGCUACGAAUAUACAUCCUUGUAGUCGUACCUAUAGCACUAUGUUCAAUUUGUCACACAAGCAUAUGGCAUCCAUCACAACUGCAUGCCUAGAAAAAGACAAGGGCAACACACUCAAUUACCUUUUAUUCUAUCUAAGAAGCACUACAAUAUUUAGGCAACGAAAUUGACAUCUGGCUUGUACCCAUAAGUACUGCAAUACAGUUGUAUAACAUGUUCCUCUUGUGUGGAAAAAGGGCUGCAUACGUUUUCUUUGAGCACAAGGGGGGGUGGUAUCAGUUAAAGAAGCCCCUCCAUCCACGCGCCACUGCCGCUUUCUUAAGUAGCGACAACCUUUGUUGUACGCCGCCUUUUCCCCUGACAUCAAAUCCGGUUCCAGCAUUUCCAGUUUCAAAGUUUCCGGUUCCGUCGUUACCGCUUCCUGGAGUUGUGGUGCGGGAAUUUCCGCUUUGACUGCCGAUGGUGAGAUGCCCACGCGUGCUUAGCAGAGCUGUGGUAGUCACCAUGAGAAGAAUGCAAAGGCGACAAGCUGUUGUAUUCCGCUGAAGUAGUAAUUCUCGGUCGCUGUUUUCUAAAUGCACGAAAAAUGGCAGUGGUCUCCAAGCGCCCAGGCACUACAUUCCACUGUACGUUGUCUCGUGGCACAACCCGUCGCAGGUUGACGCGAAACAGCGAACACGAUCAGAUCGCUGGUUACAAUAGGCGGUGGUACUUGGAUGGAAUCGCAUUCACAGUUUAAACCGCAGCUGGUGCAAUUAAAGCCUCUCCAUCGACGCGAAAGUAAACAACGUUAAGAAAAACAUAGCGUUACUUCCACUCGGAACAGGAAGCUGCAGCUACGGAAGUUCCGCUUGAUGCCGGAAGCUAAGGGGGCGAGUGGCAGAGGAACGUGGAGGAAGAGGGUAGGUUGGCGGUACUUAACCUGGUCGGCGGAAACGUGUAUGGAGGGGCUUUAGUAUCAGUUAAUGGCUGUUUUCACAUAUAUGUUUUGUCGUGUGUAUUAGCAAUCACCACUUUCCUUAUCUGAGUGAGGUCAUUUUUUAGAAAGUUUGAAAGUUUAUAGAACAUGUUGCUCAUGGUUGUUGCAGUUUUCUUCCUAACUAUCCAUUCAUUGCACUGUGCACCCAUGUCUUGGGCAACUAGCUGUUUGAAGGUCAGCAUGCUAUCGAUGGGUCUAAUGAUAAUCUCUAGUGCCCUCUCAUUUGCUUGUUGCAAUACUUAAGAGUUAGAUUUUGUAUAUUGUGUCACUGGUUUAUUUUCACUGUACUUUAGUUUCACUACAUCUUGAAUGUGUUGUGAUAGUUUUUCUUUUGCAAUGAAAGAUAUGGUGGGCAGUUGCCGACACUAAUGUUUCGCUGGGCAGUAAUGGUCAUUAGCAGCAGAUGCUAGCUGCCCUUAAGUGCAAUGUUUUUAUGUUGCAUAGUAUUGUUCAUGAUUCAUUGAAUGCACUGCACGCACAUGUUGUGGACAACUGCCUGUUUGAAGAAAUUAUCUGCAUAUUCAGUGGGUCUAAUGUGAACAUCUCUACUACUGACUUAGCUUCACUACAUCUUGAAUGUGUUGUGAUAGUUUUUAUUUUGCCGUGACAGAUGUGGUGGGCAGUUGCCGGCACUAAUGUGAUAGUACGAAUGCUUGCUGUAUUUACCACAUGGUUGUUUCAUUUCGUCUGAGGCAGUAGUGGCCGUUAGCAGCAGAUGUCAUUUGGCCUUAAGUGCAAUAUUUUUAUGUUGCAUAGUUUUGUCCAUAAUCAUCCAUUGAAUGCACUGCAGACCCAUGUUCUGGACAACUGCCUGUUUGAAGGAAUGAUCUGCAUAUUCAGUGUGUCUAAUGUGAACAUCUCUAGUACUGCCUGUGUAUUUGUGAGUUAGAGUUUGUAUUGUGUGUCAUUUUGUUUUCGCUGUGCUUUAGUUUCACUACAUCGUGAAUGGGUUGAUAGUUUUCCUUUUGCAGUGAGAGAUAUGAUGGGCAGUGGCCGGCACUAAUGUGAUAGUACGAAUGCUUGCUGUAUUUACCACAUGGUUGUUUCAUUUUGUCUGGCGCAGUAAUAGCCGUUAGCAGCAGAUGCCAUUUGGCCUUAAGUGCAAUAUUUUUAUGUUGCAUAGUUAUGUUCAUACUAAUCCAUUGGAUGCACAGCACACCCAUGUUCUGGACAACUGCCUGUUUGAAGGAAUGACCUGCAUAUUCAGUGGGUUUAAUGUGACCGUCUCUAGUACUGACUGUAUAUUUAUCAGUUAGGUUUUAUAUUGUAUGUUGCUUGUUUUCACUGUAGGCUGCUGAGCACGAGGUCGCGGGAUCGAAUCCCGGCCGCGGCGGCCGCAUUUCGAUGGAGGCGAAAUACGAAAACACCCGUGUACUUAGAUUUAGGUGCACGUUAAAGAUCCCCAGGUGGUCGAAAUUUCCGGAGUCCUCCACUACGGCGUGCCUCAUAAUCAGAAAGUGGUUUUGGCACGUAAAACCCUAUAAUUUAAUUUUUUUUUUCACUGUACUUUAGUGGGAUUGCACAUUGAAUGUGUUGUGAUGUAUUUUAUUUUGCUAUGAGAGAUCUAAUGGGCAGUUACCAGCCCCCGGUCUUUGUAUUAGUACAAAUAUUUAUUAUGCUUAUCACAGCAUUUUGUAAGGCUAUAGUUUUGUGAUGAUUAACUCAUGCCUGACUUUUUUAUGAGAAACAUGUCACAACUAAUAAACAAUCACUCAUGCUUGGGAUCCAUGAAA